AUUAGGAUAUCUUGAAUACAUAGUGACCAUAAACCAAACUAAUAUGGCUUCUAAAAGAACUUCACUUAUUGGGGUUGCCCUCAUACUUUUUGUGAUUUCAUUGUGUACCAUAAAACUAGUUGGAGAUUCUGAGCUUCAUGCAAGGUCGUAUGAAAUGGCAAGUAGUAGAAGGUUGCUUGGGGAUUCAAAUCUUAUAAAUCAAAACAAGCAAGCAUUUGAUAUGCCUCAUGGCGGAAACUAUGGACCUAGAAAGGGGGCCAAUAAAGGCCACGGUUCUCCUUAAUUUUUUUUCAAAAAAUUUAUACUAUAGUAUUUUAUUAUAUUAAUGGUUUAUUUUCAUUUUUAUUCCUCUAUUUUCUUAAACUCACAAAAAUAGCCCCCUUUUUAUAUUACAACUUUUUAUGCUCUAUUUAUAAAUUUGUUGUAAAUUUGAUCUUAGUGAAUGUUAUUCCAAAUAAAAAUUGUAUUCUUUGUACUAAAAAAGUGAUUAUAUUGUCUCAAUUCAAUAUUAAAUUUAAUGACAAAAUAUUUCUUUUGAGACUAAAAUUCACCUAUUUUUUAUGCAUGGAUGUCGCAAUUUUAAGGCACAGUGCAUGAGUUGAGACCAAAAUUACAAUAGACGUGAAAAUAAAUAGGCCAAAAAGUUCAACUAAUAAAAAGUGGCUCAUAAAAUGCAAAUUCACAAAUAUUAACUUUGGAUUUAUUUUAUAAUUUGUUGUAUGUUAUGCUCUUAAAAUUAGUUUUUCCUUUACUAAAUUAUAAUUUUAAGUUCAGUUCCCCUAACCAUCCAUGAUCUUGAUCUUUUCUUACUAUUAGAUUUAAUGGCUCUGCUUUGUUGAUGUAAAUUGUAAUCGCAAGGUUUUGUUUCUAUAUAUGGAAAAUGCUAAAUAGUGUCUCGGACACUAGUUAAGCAUAAUAAUAAAGAAAUUAUGUCUUAAAAUUUGAGCAUGGAAUAUUUUAAAAGUGUAAAAAGUUAUCUUAUCAACAUUUUUUUUUUUUAUGCUUAACAAAUGUCCCGAGGGUACUGUUUAGCCUAAAGAUAUAUAUAGAUUGGUGUUGUUGUCCCUAGGCCAGUAAAUUUGUAUCAUCAAAGGAGAAAAAAAUGUUGUGUAAUCAAACUCUAUCAUCUUAAAAUUUUAAUUAGGUUUAUUUCAAUCUUAUAUGGGACUGACUUGUAACUUUGAUGUGGAGAAAGGAAGUUACCUAUGAGAGUUUAAGAUGAUAUAAUAUCUGAUAGGUCAAUCAGUGUUGUUAUGAAGAAGCAAAAUACAAAAUGAAUUGGAAAUGGUCAAAGAAGAAAAGGCAAAAAAUUCCAAUUUGGAGAGAAGACUUGUGAUAGUGAAAGAUCAUUCUUCACUUGUUCACUUGCCAAACAAAAGAAAAUGAAGACACAAACAACAGAAGAAGAAAAAACAUGCAGAAACAUUAUGAAGUACAAAAAGAUAAUUUUUUUUUUCCUUAAUUUGAUGAGAUUUUAAUAAUUUGUAUUUAGAUUAUUUGAGACAUUAUGAAUUUAAUAAGAUAACCCUCUUGACUUUUGA